AUCUACUGACCCAGUGUCAGAUAGUCUCCUUUAUCUACUGACCCAGAGUCAGAUGGUCUCCUUUAUCUACUGACCCAGAGUCAGAUGGUCUCCUUUAUCUACUGACCCAGAGUCAGAUGAGGUCCUUUAUCUACUGACCCAGAGUCAGAUGGGCUCCUUUAUCUACUGACCCAGAGUCAGAUGGUCUCCUUUAUCUACUGACCCAGAGUCAGAUGAGGUCCUUUAUCUACUGACCCAGAGUCAGAUGAGGUCCUUUAUCUACUGACCCAGAGUCAGAUGAGGUCCUUUAUCUACUGACCCAGAGUCAGAUGAGGUCCUUUAUCUACUGACCCAGAGUCAGAUGGUCUCCUUUAUCUACUGACCCAGAGUCAGAUGGUCUCCUUUAUCUACUGACCCAGAGUCAGAUGAAGCUCUUUAUCUACUGACCCAGAGUCAGAUGGUCUCCUUUAUCUACUGACCCAGAGUCAGAUGAGGCCCUUUAUCUACUGACCCAGAGUCAGAUGAGGUCCUUUAUCUACUGACCCAGAGUCAGAUGGUCUCCUUUAUCUACUGACCCAGAGUCAGAUGGUCUCCUUUAUCUACUGACCCAGAGUCAGAUGAGGUCCUUUAUCUACUGACCCAGAGUCAGAUGGUCUCCUUUAUCUACUGACCCAGAGUCAGAUGGUCUCCUUUAUCUACUGACCCAGAGUCAGAUGGUCUCCUUUAUCUACUGACCCAGAGUCAGAUGGUCUCCUUUAUCUACUGACCCAGAGUCAGAUGAGGCCCUUUAUCUACUGACCCAGAGUCAGAUGAAGCCCUUUAUCUACUGACCCAGAGUCAGAUGAGGUCCUUUAUCUACUGACCCAGAAUCAGAUGGUCUCCUUUAUCUACUGAUCCAGAGUCAGAUGAGGCCCUUUAUCUACUGACCCAGAGUCAGAUGGUCUCCUUUAUCUACUGACCCAGAGUCAGAUGGUCUCCUUUAUCUACUGACCCAGAGUCAGACGGUCUCCUUUAUCUACUGACCCAGAGUCAGAUGAGGCCCUUUAUCUACUGACCCAGAGUCAGAUGGUCUCCUUUAUCUACUGACCCAGAGUCAGAUGAGGUCCUUUAUCUACUGACCCAGAGUCAGAUGAGGCCCUUUAUCUACUGACCCAGAGUCAGAUGGUCUCCUUUAUCUACUGACCCACAGUCAGAUGGUCUCCUUUAUCUACUGACCCAGAGUCAGAUGGGGUCUUUAUCUACUGACCCAGAGUCAGAAACCCAGGACCUGAAAAUCACAGUCUCCCCCAUGGUAUCGUUUUGGUACAGUCUCCCCCCAUGGUAUCGUUUUGGUACAGU